AGUCCUUAUUAUAGAAGUUUUGAAAGCCUCUUCAGAGCAUUAACUAUGCUCAAGGACUU
rnacentral:tRNA from 1 species